rfam:Triticum aestivum genome assembly, contig: Triticum_aestivum_CS42_TGACv1_scaffold_345499_4DL
CUCUUACUCCCUCCGUUCGGAAUUACUUGUCGCGGAAAUGAAUGUAUCUAGACAUAUUUUAGUUCUAGAUACAUCCAUUUUUAAGACAAGUAGUUCCGAACGGAGGGAGUAUUUU